rnacentral:lncRNA from 1 species
AUUACCUUAAUCUUAGACUGUGAACUUCGGCAAGCUGUGAUCCUCAAUCUAUCCUCUCGACUUGUUGUGAAACAUCUAUAGCUAGUGUCUCUGCAAGCCCUUUCAAAUGCUCAAGAACUUCUAGUUUAACCCCGCUUACAAAUUAUGAGGCUAUGCUGCAAUCCGGACCGAUGUCUCUUGGACGCUCGCCGAUAUUCCUCUUA